rnacentral:rRNA from 1 species
AAGGGACGGCUAGUACAGGUGGUGCAUGGCUGUCGUCAGCUCGUGUCGUGAGAUGUUGGGUUAAGUCCCGCAACGAGCGCAACCUUACCCUUAGUUGUUUUCCCGAAAGGAUUACCCUCUAAGGGGACUGCCCCGGGACAACGGGGAGGAAGUGGGGAUGACGUCAAGUCCGCAUGCUCCUUACGUCUAGGGCUACACACGUCCUACAAUGGGGUCGACAGUGGGAUGCAAAGCCGCGAGGUGGAGCCAAUCCCCAAACGGCCUCUCAGUUCGGAUAGUAGUCUGCAACUCGACUACUUGAAGUCGGAAUCGCUAGUAAUGGCGGAUCAGCAUGCCGCCGUGAAUACGUUCCCGGGUCUU